rnacentral:snoRNA from 1 species
UGUGUGUGUGUGUGUAUUUGCUUAACUUGUGGACAAAGACUAACAGAUAGGUGCAAAAAAUCAAUCCUCUUUUGCAAACCAAAACUCAUUGUGCAGUAUGAGUUUUGAUACAUAUGAAAAGGAAUAUG